GAAUUCGCCCUUAGAGUUUGAUCCUGGCUCAGGACGAACGCUGGCGGCGUGCCUAACACAUGCAAGUCGAACGGACUGAUUCCCUUCGGGGAUGAAAGUUAGUGGCGAACGGGUGAGUAACGCGUGAGGAACCUGCCUUUCAGAGGGGGACAACAGUUGGAAACGACUGCUAAUACCGCAUGAAACAACUGGGUCGCAUGAUCUGGUUGUCAAAGAUUUUAUCGCUGAAAGAUGGCCUCGCGUCUGAUUAGAUAGUUGGUGGGGUAACGGCCUACCAAGUCAACGAUCAGUAGCCGGACUGAGAGGUUGAACGGCCACAUUGGGACUGAGAUACGGCCCAGACUCCUACGGGAGGCAGCAGUGGGGAAUAUUGGGCAAUGGGCGCAAGCCUGACCCAGCAACGCCGCGUGAAGGAAGAAGGCUUUCGGGUUGUAAACUUCUUUUACCAGGGACGAAGGACGUGACGGUACCUGGAGAAAAAGCCACGGCUAACUACGUGCCAGCAGCCGCGGUAAUACGAGGGGUGCAAGCGUUGUUCGGAAUCACUGGGCGUAAAGGGAGCGUAGGCGGAGACGCAAGCAGUCUGUACAAUACCGGGGCCCAACCCCGGACCUGCAGACUGGACUGUGUCUCUUGGAUAGUUCAGGGGCAGGCGGAAUUCCUGGUGUAGCGGUGGAAUGCGUAGAGAUCAGGAAGAACACCGAUGGCGAAGGCAGCCUGCUGGGGACUCAUCGACGCUGAGGCUCGAAAGUGCGGGUAGCAAACAGGAUUAGAUACCCUGGUAGUCCACGCCGUAAACGAUGACAACUAAAUAUUGCCGUGAGGCAGUGUUGAAGCUAACGCAUUAAGUUGUCCGCCUGGGGAGUACGGUCGCAAGACUGAAACUUAAAGGAAUUGACGGGGACCCGCACAAGCAGUGGAGCAUGUGGUUUAAUUCGACGCAACGCGAAGAACCUUACCAGGGCUUGACAUAACAGAUACUACCCUCUAAGAGAUUAGAGGAGACUACUGCUACAGGUGGUGCAUGGUUGUCGUCAGCUCGUGUCGUGAGAUGUUGGGUUAAGUCCCGCAACGAGCGCAACCCUCGUCCUUAGUUGCCAUCAUUCAGUUGGGAACUCUAAGGAUACUGCCGAUGUAAGUCGGAGGAAGGUGGGGAUGACGUCAAGUCAUCAUGGCCCUUACGACCAGGGCUACACACGUGCUACAAUGGCGCAUACAAAGAGAAGCGACCUCGCGAGAGCAAGCGGACCUCAUAAAGUGCGUCGUAGUCCGGAUUGGAGUCUGCAACUCGACUCCAUGAAGUCGGAAUCGCUAGUAAUCGUGGAUCAGAAUGCCACGGUGAAUACGUUCCCGGGCCUUGCACUCACCGCCGGUCA
rnacentral:rRNA from 1 species